rnacentral:sRNA from 1 species
GUCAGCUCAAGCAGAAUAGGCACCUUCUGGAACCUUCCCCACCUGAGACCAGGGCAUACUGUGGGGAAGGCAGCAAAGUAUAGACACUGACAGACUCCUGUUUUCUAGAUGAAGUAUUUGUGGUCCAGAGAGGGUGGCUAGCUGGACCACAACCACACAGCUUUCCCUACAUUGCUAGAAGACAAAGUGGGUCACAGAGAGAAGGAUGUGACUGAAGGUAGGGAGCCUAGCUUUAUUGAACAAGAGAAGGAAGACUCAGGAGACAAACACUGCUCUGAUUCCUGAGGAGAGAGCCAGAGAUAGCAAGCCAGGAGGGGACCAUGCUUCCAAGUACAAAGCCCAGAAGGUGGGAGAAGUCUCCGUGUAAGAAGCUAGGUAAGUGACUAAGAACCUUAAGCCUGCAGCCCAGCAGCUUCCAGAGGAGAGGUUUUUUGGUAACACCCAUCCUAGCUAAGCAAGGGAGAGGUUUUGUGGUGGUACCAAUCCUGGCAAAGCCCUGCAUUCUGCUCUGCAUAGGUUCUGCACUUUGAGCCAGUUUACGGAGGAAAAUGAACAGAGCAGUUACUCUGACCUGCUCUUAAGAGGGACUCACCAGCUGGGAAACACCAACAUAAAACCCUAUGGGAAACCAGGCAACAAGUGAUGGAUGGCGAUCCAGAGACUUGGCCCAUCCUUGCACAGGCCCUGCAACUCAGCCUCCACAGUGCAGGCUCACAAUUCAAACCAGGGUGCACGCCAGUGCCCUGCUCUCUAUGGAAGCUGUGCUUGGGUAAUCCUGACCAAUAGUGUUCUAGAUGGAGUGACAUUGUGGCCUUUGCUCCUGACGCAGGAGCUAGAGUUUACUGCUGCUUCCUAUUGAAUGGCAUCUCCUGCUGACAGCAUAGAGAAUCUGCAUAGACUCUGCUAGCCAAAAUCUGACAUAGCUACCAACAGGGGGUGGGGCUUGAGGCUAUGGUGGUGCCCAGUUCUCUUAUCACUCCUCAUCCUGCCCCUCAUCUGUUGUGCUCUCUGGCUUGCUCAGAGACUGUGCAGCUGUCACAUGCAGGACUGAGAACUCUCCCCUCUUCUUGCAUCCUGCUUUUUGUAAUAGAGCCAAAGGUGAUACUUAUCCCAAGCCAACAAUGACCUUGGUAAUGAGGGCACAGUGGAGAGAGCACAGGACACAGAGUCAGGAGCCUGGGCUAUGAUUAUCCUGCAAGGUCUUUUCUUUGGGAUUGACCUAACCAUGAUAAAGCAUUUUGGUUUGUUUCUAACCCCCACACUAGGGGGUGGAAUCGAACCUCCAGGUCCACUGGUUUGGGUUUAGCCAUGUGACCUACUUUCCAACAGUAAGAUGUUAGCUGACACGACACAGACAUUUGACUUGUAUCUUCUUAACUGGACCUGUCUUCUAUCAUUCUUGUUAUUAAAAUAACUAUUGUUGUUGUUGUAGUUGUUAUUGUAUGAAGAACUCUCCAGGAGACUAACUGUCCCUUCAGCCCGAACCACAGGAUGUACACACAAAGAGCAGAUUUGAGCUUGACCUGAAGCCAAACCCACUCACUCAUAGCCUGGACAGUUUCCCCAGCCAACCUCAACACAAACACUCAGCCCCUGGGGCCAAGGUUACUUGUCACAAACAUUACCAUGGCAGCAGAUGACUGAUACAGGUCCCUUUAAAGACACCCUUUAGACAGUGAAUGCCAGCUGGGUGGCUAACCUUGAUUUUAUAUACUAUCUAAAGCCUGAUUUGCCUCUACUCUGGAAGAAACUCAGUGCAGCCUAGAGGAGGACCACAUUCUUCUCGAGUCAGAAAGGACUCACACUUUCUCUAGCAUCUUAUUGUCCAAAAUCCAGUUGCAGCUGCCCUUUGCAUCUUUCCUCAUCUAAGCUAAACAGCCCUGACUUAUCCAGCUGUGGGGACAGAAGGAGCUGGAGAAGAGAGUAUUACUCCAUGCUUGCUACUUUCUGGAUUUCUCCCAUCAUGUUUAAGGAGAGCUGCCGUGUGCCAGCUCUGAGUCAGGUCCUCUAAUCCCACCACUGGAGUUCAUGCUCCAGCAUCAGUUAUCAGAGAAUGGUGGGAGAGUUUCUUGGUCUUCAGCAUGAACCUGGCAUCCCUGAAUUCUACAAAACAAAUGACUUUAUCUUGGUUGAAGACUCCUAGCCAUCCAAGCUGCCAAGAAUAACUGACUAUGGCAAAGGGUGCAAUGCUUGGCCAUAAAUGUAAGACAAUAACCACCCACUCCACUCUCAGGGAACAACUCAGAAGAGGGGAGAUCCAGAGGAAGGGGUGGACUGUCGUGUAUCUGUAUUCUCUCCUGGAGGGACAAGGAAGGCUCAAAGGACUCAGGGAGCUAAGGCAACUCAUAAGGUUCAGAAAUCACAGAGGAUUACAAGACUCACAAGGACCCUCUCCCAAAUAAUAUAGCAAUAAACAAUUGCUGGAGAAAAAGACUUUUCAGUAGACUUGUGACUCAUCACCCAUACUGAGAAGGAUUCUUAGUGACACAUCUGCCUUGGAGUUAUGCCAAUAAACUCAUUAGUUCACCAAGCAAAAUUUGGGUGAGUUCAUUUCUUUUGGCUGUUAUUGGUACCCUAUCUGGGAUAAACAGACAUUUGUUCAUAUCUCCCUGGGAAAAGUCAUGCACAUGCAUGCUUCCAUUAGUGGCAAACUGAGUACAGCUCUGGGCUUUUUGGCAACGGCAAGAACAAAGAUGAGUGUUCAAUGUGUAAUCAGUAAACCAAAGAAUUCUGGGAACUCAUCUAUCUCUUCCUUGACAUCACCCCACAGACAAAUGACACGUUAAAGUACCUAACAUCAUCCAUCAGUAAGCUAUGUGCCUAUUUGGGUGACUCUGAGCCCUUGCUUCUAGACACACAGCCCUCUGGAUGAGAUGGUGCAGCCUUCCAUGGAUCCAGAGAAAGUGAAGGACAAGUUAAGUACAAGAAGGUUUGUCUCUGUGGUUCCAUUUCGGUCUUUAUUUGAGAUUUCUGUCUUAGACAUAAUUCCUAGAGAAGUCUAUGACUGCUGUUAUUUCCUCCAUCUGAUUUUUUUAGGAAUCCUUCUUUUUCUUUAAAAUAAUGUUUUAUUUGCUUAUUGAAAGUUUAUACAUUUACCCAAUUUAUUUUAAUCAUAUUUAUCUAUUACUCCCUGCCCCCAACUUGCACAAGUGUCUCCACCCCAUCACCCUUCCAACUCCCUGUCUUUCUUUUUUGUUGUUAAUGAUAAUCCUCUGAAUCUAACGAGUGCUUCUUAUAUGCAAAUUGGUGCGGGGCCAUCCACCAAGGCACAGGUUACUAACCACAUCACCAAGAAGAGUGACACUCCUUCCCUCAGUGGCCAUCAGCUGUUACUACUAGCUCUUCUGCUAAAGGCAGAUUCUCAGGGCUGCUGCCACAUUUACUCUGCACUGUUUUGACUGACUUGAUCUUGUGCAACUAACCACAGGUGUUGACAUAUAUAGAGGCCAUGUCAUGCCAAGAGGGUGCUCUUUCUUUAUGACUCUGUGACUGUUCAGUCAGUCACCCAUUUAGCCGUCUAAAUGAACACCACAGCACACACUAUUCUAGGCAUGAGCAUAACUUUGAGAUUCUACAACCAGUA